UACGUAGGGUGCAAGCGUUGUCCGGAAUUAUUGGGCGUAAAGAGCUCGUAGGCGGUCCGUCACGUCGGGCGUGAAAACCCAGGGCUCAACCCUGGGCCUGCGUUCGAUACGGGCGGACUAGAGUUCGGUAGGGGAGACUGGAAUUCCUGGUGUAGCGGUGAAAUGCGCAGAUAUCAGGAGGAACACCGGUGGCGAAGGCGGGUCUCUGGGCCGAUACUGACGCUGAGGAGCGAAAGCGUGGGGGAGCAAACAGG
rnacentral:rRNA from 1 species